UACAGAGACUGCAAGCGUUAUUCGGAUUCACUGGGCGUAAAGGGCGCGUAGGCGGCCACCGCAAGUCGGUUGUGAAAUCUCUGGGCUUAACCCAGAAAGGUCAACCGAUACUGCGGGGCUAGAGUGCAGAAGGGGCAACUGGAAUUCUCGGUGUAGCGGUGAAAUGCGUAGAUAUCGAGAGGAACACCUGCGGCGAAGGCGGGUUGCUGGGCUGACACUGACGCUGAAGCGCGAAAGCUAGGGGAGCGAACGGG
rnacentral:rRNA from 1 species